AAAGAAGCCGGAAUAGCUCAGUUGGUAGAGCAGAGGACUGAAAAUCCUCGUGUCACA
rnacentral:tRNA from 1 species